UUUUCCAUUAUACCUCAAGCUUCCUAUUCACUGCACCAUUCUUUUCUAUGAAUGACUGGAGGGGAAAAGGAAGCGAGAUCGACUUCGAAUUACUUCCUCAUACUAUCUAGUCUUAAAUGAAAUGGCUUAAAUGGAUUCUGAGUGUUCGAGACAUGU
rfam:Pichia sorbitophila strain CBS 7064 chromosome L complete sequence.